CACUCGAGUGCUCGUUAAGACUUGGAGUCUGGAAAAACGAGACUAAUAGAGGGGGAAAAUUCAGAGGAAAAAUCAUCAUAGGAAGAUACCCUACAAAAUAUGAGAAUAACAUAACAUUCACUUACAUUGCAAAUGGAAAUAUAGAAAACCUGAGAAAAGAAAUGGAUGGGAUCGGGAACUGUUGAUCAUGCACAUCUUCAAAUUGGUGACUUCUAAGCUACAUUAAUAAUAAAUUUGUACACAACUUUAAUAACCUUGUUGAGAAGGGUAGCCUUGAUAUUCCGACCAGUUGAUCACAUGUGACCAUAUGCACCAUCAUAUUUUUCACUGAUACACAAAAAACAUGAUGGCAUAACACUACUGCAAUAUGAGAAAACCUAACUUGCAAACCCAAGAGUUAAGAAUCAGAGUGGACUUAAUAUCUGGCAGACAUUAUCUCAAAUAAUUUAUAAGUCGUUAAUAUGCAAAAGAACACUUCAAUCAAAGACAAAUAUGUUACAACUAUGACCCAAGAGUCCAAAGUAAAGUGUUGAUCAAGUGUCAAGUCUCACAUUAGAUAUGAGGCGAUGAAUGAACUAAUCCUUUAAGAUUUUGGUUUAAGAUGUGGUACCUCUCUACUCUUCUCAUAUCUCGAUAACAAUGGAACACCUCGAUGGUUGGAGGCUAAACGAUCGCAGUGUGAUGCAAAAAAGUGAUAUAAGAACCAAUGGUUCGACUGGACAUGGUGAAGUUAGGGGGGGCAGACCAAAAUGUGUGUUACCCAAACUUGAAGGGGAUAUUGUUGAGUUUAUUCAAGUGUAAACUCCCACACUGGAUAUAAGGAGAGGAGUGGAAUUUUUUACAAAUAGAGAAGACCUAUGAAACUAAUACCUUAAGGAUUCUAUUCAAGACGUGAUGUUUCACUGAUAGAUCUCAACUCUUCCAUGUAACAAUGGAACUCACCGAUGGUUGAAGUAUCAGUUUAAUCCAAAAUAAAGAAGUAUAACUUAUUCUUGAAACCCAUAGGCAGCAUAGCUAUACAACGCACAUAUGUCUAAACCCAUGACGAGCAAAUGCACAGAAAAAACAGGAAGAAAAUAUGCUCAAACUCACAAUUAUUGGCUACCCUCCCUGCAAUACACUCAAUGAAAAUGAUGGGAAAGAAGCAACUCUGAAUGACACGAUAGAAGAGAAUAUACAACUUCAAAAACAGGACCCAAGCAGAAAUCACCAUGCCAGUCUAGUCUGAGCUUUGAAGAUGCACAGAACGUUCCAUGAGAUUAUUUGGAGACACUACUACACCACUAAAAGAUCAUUUACAGGAUUAAUCCAAGACAUCAUAUCAUGCUCAAUCAAAGUCACACAGAAAAUGAGACAAUCAAAGAAAUCAAAUUUGUAAUCUUG
rnacentral:lncRNA from 1 species